CAACGAAUAUUCCGCAAUGGGCGCAAGCCUGACGGAGCGAUGCCGCGUGGAGGAUGAAGCCCUUCGGGGUGUAAACUCCUGUCAGGGUUUAGCAACGCAAUGAGCAGACCCAGAGGAAGAGACGGCUAACUCUGUG
rnacentral:rRNA from 1 species